AUUGAACGCUGGCGGCAUGCUUUACACAUGCAAGUCGAACGGUAACAGGCCGCAAGGUGCUGACGAGUGGCGAACGGGUGAGUAAUGCAUCGGAACGUGCCCGAGAGUGGGGGAUAACGAGGCGAAAGCUUUGCUAAUACCGCAUACGAUCUCAGGAUGAAAGCAGGGGACCGCAAGGCCUUGCGCUCACGGAGCGGCCGAUGGCAGAUUAGGUAGUUGGUGGGAUAAAGCUUACCAAGCCGACGAUCUGUAGCUGGUCUGAGAGGACGACCAGCCACACUGGGACUGAGACACGGCCCAGACUCCUACGGGAGGCAGCAGUGGGGAAUUUUGGACAAUGGGCGCAAGCCUGAUCCAGCCAUGCCGCGUGCAGGAUGAAGGCCUUCGGGUUGUAAACUGCUUUUGUACGGAACGAAAAGACUCUGGUUAAUACCUGGGGUCCAUGACGGUACCGUAAGAAUAAGCACCGGCUAACUACGUGCCAGCCGCCGCCGUAACAC
rnacentral:rRNA from 1 species